rnacentral:lncRNA from 1 species
AACUUGGGCCAUUAUACAUCUGAAACAAUCUCUCUUAUUAAAUUGAUGCAAGAAUCAUUUCGACGCAUCCUUAUUCACCAGUAACAUUAUUUAAUUCAAAGCCCCUAGGUGAAGUUUCUUCUGGAGUGAAAGACUCCAAAUGGGGUUGAAAACCAUAUCCAAAAAGAAUAAGUUAAUAAAUCAUACGACUGUAGAAAUUUGCGGGAUACUACUAAACUGUCAAGAAAUUGAAAAUAAGUUGAUUCUUACAUUGAACAUUCUAAUAUGAUAACAUUUACGAAUUAUGAGAUUAUAGUUGAAUGUAAUGCUCCUAAAGGAGUCUAAAACUCGUAACGAAUGCGCCAAUAGUCACUAAAUGUUCUAUAUAGCCUGAAAUUGACAUGCCUAAAGUGCUCAAGGAUGAGAUGUUCCUACUUACCACGAAAUCAUAGUAGAGGACUUUGCCUUGAGCUAUGCAAAAGAGCAGGGUCAAGGUGAACGCACACCCUAGAAAUGUCCCCAUCCUCUCUCCCUCCCUCUCUCUCUCUCUCUCUCUCUCUCUCUCUCUCUCUCUCUCUCUCU